CAAUAGCGUAUAUUAAAGUUGUUGCAGUUAAAAAGCUCGUAGCUGGAUUUCGGAGCCGACCGGGCGGUCUGUCGAGAGACACGCACUGCUCGGUGGCUCUUCCUCUCGGAGGCCCUGGCUGCCCUUAACUGGAGCGGGCAGGGGAUUCGGGACGUUUACUUUGAAAAAAUUAGAGUGUUCAAAGCAGGCCGGUGCUUGGAUACAUUAGCAUGGAAUAAUGGAAUAGGGCUUGGGUCCUAUUUUGUUGGUUUUCGGGACCGAGGUCAUGGUUAAGAGGGACAGUUGGGGGCAUUCGUAUUCAAUUGUCAGAGGUGAAAUUCUUGGAUUUAUGGAAGACGAACAACUGCGAAAGCAUUUGCCAAGGAUGUUUUCAUUAA
rnacentral:rRNA from 1 species